GAUGAACGCUAGCGGCAGGCUUAAUACAUGCAAGUCGAGGGGCAGCACGGUUAGCAAUAACUGGUGGCGACCGGCGCACGGGUGCGUAACACGUUUACAAUCUACCUUAAACAGGGGGAUAGCCUUUCGAAAGAGAGAUUAAUACCCCGUAAUAAAUUGAACGGCAUCGUUUGAUUUUGAAAGCUCCGGCGGUUUGAGAUGAGUAUGCGUCUGAUUAGCUAGUUGGUGAGGUAACGGCUCACCAAGGCGACGAUCAGUAGGGGAUCUGAGAGGACUAACCCCCACACUGGUACUGAGACACGGACCAGACUCCUACGGGAGCAGCAGUAAGGAUAUUGGUCAAUGGAGGCAACUCUGAACCCAGCCAUGCCGCGUGCAGGAUGACGGCCCUAUGGGUU
rnacentral:rRNA from 1 species